GACGUAGGGCGCGAGCGUUGUCCGGAUUUAUUGGGCGUAAAGAGCUCGUAGGCGGCUCGUUGCGUCGGCUGUGAAAACCCGCAGCUCAACUGUGGGCUUGCAGCCGAUACGGGCGGGCUUGAGUUCGGUAGGGGAGACUGGAAUUCCUGGUGUAGCGGUGAAAUGCGCAGAUAUCAGGAGGAACACCGGUGGCGAAGGCGGGUCUCUGGGCCGAAACUGACGCUGAGGAGCGAAAGCGUGGGGAGCGAACAGGAUUAGAA
rnacentral:rRNA from 1 species